rnacentral:rRNA from 1 species
CCUACGGGUGGCAGCAGUAGGGAAUAUUGCACAAUGGGCGAAAGCCUGAUGCAGCAACGCCGCGUGUGCGAAGAAGGCCUUCGGGUCGUAAAGCACUUUUCUGGGAGAUGAGAAAGGACAGUACCUUCAGAAUAAGCUUCGGCUAACUACGUGCCAGCAGCCGCGGUAAAACGUAGGAAGCGAGCGUUAUCCGGAUUUACUGGGCGUAAAGCGUGUGUAGGCGGUUUGACAAGUUGGAUGUGAAAGCUCCUGGCUUAACUGGGAGAGGUCGUUCAAAACUGUCAGACUUGAGAGUGGUAGAGGGAGGUGGAAUUCCGGGUGUAGUGGUGAAAUGCGUAGAUAUCCGGAGGAACACCAGUGGCGAAAGCGGCCUCCUGGCCCAUUUCUGACGCUCAGACACGAAAGCUAAGGUAGCAAACGGGAUUAGAUACCCGGGUANUC